UACAGGGGGUGCAAGCGUUGUUCGGAAUUACUGGGCGUAAAGGGUUCGUAGGUGGCCACUUAAGUCAGACGUGAAAUCCCUCAGCUUAACUGGGGAACUGCGUCUGAUACUGAGUGGCUUGAGUGCAGGAGAGGGAUGCGGAAUUCCAGGUGUAGCGGUGAAAUGCGUAGAUAUCUGGAGGAACACCGGUGGCGAAGGCGGCAUCCUGGACCAAUACUGACGCUGAGGAGCGAAAGCCAGGGGAGCGAACGGG
rnacentral:rRNA from 1 species